rnacentral:rRNA from 1 species
GAGGAGCUUGCUCCUCUGACGUUAGCGGCGGACGGGUGAGUAACACGUGGAUAACCUACCUAUAAGACUGGGAUAACUUCGGGAAACCGGAGCUAAUACCGGAUAAUAUAUUGAACCGCAUGGUUCAAUAGUGAAAGACGGUUUUGCUGUCACUUAUAGAUGGAUCCGCGCCGCAUUAGCUAGUUGGUAAGGUAACGGUUUACCAAGGCAACGAUGCGUAGCCGACCUGAGAGGGUGAUCGGCCACACUGGAACUGAGACACGGUCCAGACUCCUACGGGAGGCAGCAGUAGGGAAUCUUCCGCAAUGGGCGAAAGCUUGACGGAGCAACGCCGCGUGAGUGAUGAAGGUCUUCGGAUCGUAAAACUCUGUUAUUAGGGAAGAA